rnacentral:rRNA from 1 species
UACGUAGGGGGCUAGCGUUGUCCGGAAUCAUUGGGCGUAAAGAGCGUGUAGGCGGUCCGGUAAGUCCGCUGUGAAAGUCGGGGGCUCAACCCUCGAAUGCCGGUGGAUACUGUCGGGCUAGAGUGCGGAAGAGGCGAGUGGAAUUCCUGGUGUAGCGGUGAAAUGCGCAGAUAUCAGGAGGAACACCGAUGGCGAAGGCAGCUCGCUGGGACGGUACUGACGCUGAGACGCGAAAGCGUGGGGAGCGAACAGG